rnacentral:ncRNA from 2 species
UCGACGAAACAGGGGUGCUUCGCACACUGCCGGCGUGAUUCCGAUCCGCGGCGGCGAGGCUGAGAGAGACCCUUUGCACCCGAUCCGGGUAAUACCGGCGCGGGAAGUUUCCGGAAGCAACCG